UCCUACGGGGGGCAGCAGUAGGGAAUUUUCGUCAAUGGGCGCAAGCCUGAACGAGCAAUGCCGCGUGAACGAGGAAGGUCUUCGGAUCGUAAAGUUCUGUUGAAGGGGAAAAAGAGCGGAGAGAGGAAAUGGUCUCCGAUUGAUAUUACCCUUCGAGGAAGUCACGGCUAACUACGUGCCAGCAGCCGCGGUAAUACGUAGGUGGCGAGCGUUAUCCGGAAUGAUUGGGCGUAAAGGGUGCGUAGGCGGCCUGCUAAGUCUGGAGUGAAAGUUACCGGCUCAACCGGUACAGGCUCUGGAAACUG
rnacentral:rRNA from 1 species